rnacentral:tRNA from 3 species
UCCCCUUGGCUACAUCCGCC